rnacentral:rRNA from 1 species
UACGGGGGGGGUAAGCGUUGUUCGGAAUUACUGGGCGUAAAGGGCUCGUAGGCGGCCAACUAAGUCAGACGUGAAAGCCCCGGGCUCAACCUGGGAACAGCGCUUGAGACUGGGCGGCUUGAGUUCGGGAGAGGUGAGUGGAAUUCCUGGUGUAGCGGUGGAAUGCGCAGAUAUCAGGAGGAACACCAAUAGCGAAGGCAGCUCGCUGGGACGGUACUGACGCUAAGGCGCGAAAGCGUGGGGAGCGAACAGG